rnacentral:misc_RNA from 1 species
UGUGGGAGCUGGCUUGCCUGCGAUGCAGGCAACUCGGUAUUUCAGUAACACCGAGGCGAUGCCAUCGCAGGCAAGCCAGCUCCUACA